UGGCGCGAAGGAAGUCGGCCAGCCACUUGACGUUGCAAUCGCACACGAAGGGGUUCUGCGCCAGGUGGCUGAGGGGACACAAAGAAUCAUUCGCCAUCUUUCAAGCUGCUGCUUGUAAGCAAACGCGGAAGUCGGAUCCCUCGCCAGUCAAGUGACAGCAGCGCCAAGCUCUCCAGAUCCUUGAAGGCCGACGCACGCACGCAGUGGAUCUUGUUGGCGUUGAGCAACCUGCAGGAGGGCGCCACACAUCGCAGAGGAACUCACAACCCAAGAUCGUCAACACAUUUAGCCAGCAAAAUCCAAAGAAGGAAGUACGUUGACCUACAGCAGCUCCAGUGAGGCCAGGCCGUCAAACACGCC